rnacentral:lncRNA from 1 species
GUGAAGGGGGAGGCCGAGGUCGGGGCACCGGAGCCGGGGAACUUCUCCGAAAAACAGGUGCCCGCCCACGCCGCCCAGGCACGCGGGGGCUCCGCGCUCCGACUCUUGCGCCACGAGCACGAGGCGUUCCGCACAAGCUUCCCGAGCGGCGACGCGGCUUUGUGGACUACCCGAGGCCCUGGGGAGGGUGGCCUUUAGAUGAGCCUGUCUCCUGGAAUGCUUGGGCGGUGGCUGAGACGCUUUGCGAUGGAUCCCCCCGCCCCAAAGUAGGCCCUGCGCGGGACCCCGAGAGAACUGGGUGUUAAAGAAGCUGUUCUUAUGUUCUUGCCCCUCAUUCGUCCACCCUGCGGGUGGGGGGCCGCGAGUCCUCGGUAAUCUGCGUUCCAGCCCUGGCCUGCACCUUGCCCUCCGCCUGACCCCCUAAAGCAGGCCGCGCGUACGCCGAGCUCGCCCUCCCAGAGCCAGGGACGCACUUUGCGGGGCCCGGCCAAAGUCGCUUCUCCCGUUUGCUCCGGCGCUUCCACGGCCUGCCGCUUGGGGGCGGUAUGCGUAUUCUGAUCAAGGGGACCUGCGCAGAGUUGGGCGGGGGAGCGGAUUUUAGGGAAACUAACUCAUUUCCAGUUCCCUCAAGUCAAAAUUGAAGUUGUGUCUUGAAAAACAGUUUUUGUGCCCACUCGUGCUCCUUAACGUGACUCCCGGUUGGAGAAUUUGCAGAACUAGCUGGCUUCGGAGCCUUAAACUAUUUACAGAACAGACCAAUAGAGUAAUAAAUUACUUUCUAUUAUUUUUUUCUUUUUUCCUCUUUAAACCCCCUUCUCAUUUUUCGGCUCCCAAAGACGAGGUGUGGGUUACAUUUCUGUGGGUACACACAUUGCCUCGAGCACCGCUGGCUGCCUGAUACUUUUGUCACUGCAAUCUGGCGCCCAGGCCACCGUCCCAAGCCAGCAUGACUCCCGCCUCCUGGAAUUCCAUUCAUCUCUUUAGGAAAGGACGUCAGCAGCCUCUACUUUCCCUGGUGAGGUCGUGUCAGGGAUGGCGGGAGAGACCAGGAUGCAGUUAGAAGCAUCACCAAAUAAGGAUCUCGGCACAGGCAGUGUGGGGGAGGUGGGGAAUCCAGGGUUCACCUCCCUUCUCUUCAGUUACACCUGGCAGGACUUCUAAAUGCUGGAAACAUCCAGGAGCUUACAUUCAUCAAACAGUAAUUUCACUCUUCUUGCGUUAGGAGUGUUGUGUGACCAUGGGGGUGCUGGUGGAGUGUUUUCUAGUUACUCAAUAUACACAUCAGUGUUUCCAGCAGAUAAGCACGUUCCUAGGACACAAGUUCCUUGGAUUUCAGAUGUUGAGAGGCAAGAGCAAAGGGUUCUACCGGAUGAUUAAGACAAAUCAGAUUCCUGUCCUGGAAGUCAUAGGCGCUUAUUCAUCCACACAGAUCUGCAGAUUUCGGUACCUACUUCUCCAGAAUCUACUUUGCUCAUGAAAGGCUUCUUCCCUAGAUACCUCUCUUAGAACAGUGCCUUGAACCUAACAGUUGUGCAGUCACCUUUUGUGAAUGAAGAAGCAGAUGAAUGCAUGAACACACACCCAGGACAAGCUUUAUGGUCCACUCAGCAGAUGAAGCCAACCCUGAAGAGAAACACUGUGUUCUAUGUCCAGUAAAGCCUUGGGCCUCUUGGUAGCUGUUGGGGUUGACUGGAUGUCAGUUAGCAGGUGUCCGCCCCAACGCAAUGGUGCAGUGUUUGGAGAGCGAAUGCUGACCUUCAAGACCAGGUGGCUCCACAGAGCUGGCUCCCAGUAACUCACACAGCCUCUCCCCUGCCUUGGAUGUGCCAGAACUUCAAAGCAAUGAGGAAGUAAUCAAGACACCUGCCUUGAGCUCUUUCUCCUCUGCAUCACCCCUCUGCCCUGCUGACCUGACUUGGAAACAGCCAACUAUGAACUGAAACCUCUACAAACUGUGAGCCAAAAUAAACCUCUCCUCCUUCAAUUUGUGGGUGUCCCGUAUUGCGUCCCAGCAAUGACAAGGAUCUCACUAUGCAGUUCAGGCUAGCAUUGAAGUCACUAUGUAUCCUAGACUGAUCUCAAACUCGAGGUGAUCUUCCUGCCUCAGCUUCCCUAGUGCUGGGACUACAGAGCAUCCCGACCACCUGAGAUGCCAGUGUGACCAGGCCAGGUGCCCAUGCCAACUGGGAAGACAAGAUUGUGCCUGCAUCCUCUGGUGCCUCUGUCCCACACCUGAGUACUCUCUUCAUGGGGAAACAAGGAAAGGCCUGAUAAGGGGCAGAAUGUGGACAACAUGCAAAACACAUUUCUUUCUCUGUCAACUUGGAUAGCACCAGCAGCGUUGGUGAUUUUUACCAUGACUGACAGAGUGACUCCUUUUGGCCAAGAUGGGCUUCGGUUUUGGAUCCUGUUUUUGUUUUUGGAUUUUUUCCUCUCUUUUCUAGUACAGCUUAAGCACUGCCUACAUUUGGUUUGACAAGUAAACCUUCAAAAUGCCAAACAGUGGCUUGGAGGAGGCCUGAAAUAAACAGAACGUGG